GAUGAAGAACGUAGCGAAAUGCGAUAAGUAGUGUGAAUUGCAGAAUUCAGUGAAUCAUCGAAUCUCUGAACGCACAUUGCGCCCCUUGGUAUCCCGAGGGGCAUGCCUGUUCGAGCGUCAUUUCACCACUCAAGCCUGGCUUGGUGUUGGGCGACGUCCCCUUUGGGGACGCGCCUCGAAACGCUCGGCGGCGUGGCACCGGCUUUAAGCGUAGCAGAAUCUUUCGCUUUGGAAGUCGGGGCCCCGUCUGCCGGAAGACCUACUCGCAAGGUUGACCUCGGAUCAGGCAGGGAUACCCGCUGAACUUAAGCAUAUCAAUAAGCGGAGGA
rnacentral:misc_RNA from 1 species